AAGGAAUGCCAAGUGCCCUGCGGCAAUCUGGGCCUCGUCCAGCUCUUCGGCAUCUGGCUCCAACUGGUAAUGCUCCGGCCUCUCGUGGCCUUCCUACUACCGCUCAGAGAGUCGGCGUCCCUACGGCUGUGCCAAACCUUGCACCUCGUGCUACAGUCGCUGCUGCUGCUCCCAGGGCUGUGGCUCCAUACAAGUAUGCCUCCAAUGUCCGCAGCCCUCACCCUGCCAUUCAGCCGCUGCAGGCCCCCCAGCCUGCAGUCCAUGUCCAGGGUCAAGAACCCCUGACUGCCUCCAUGCUGGCUGCAGCUCCUCCCCAGGAGCAGAAGCAGAUGCUGGGGGAGCGUUUGUUCCCACUUAUCCAAACAAUGCAUUCAAACCUGGCUGGAAAAAUUACAGGGAUGCUGCUAGAAAUCGACAACUCUGAGCUGCUCCACAUGCUGGAGUCCCCCGAGUCCCUCCGUUCCAAGGUGGAUGAAGCUGUGGCAGUCCUGCAGGCUCAUCAUGCCAAGAAAGAAGCUGCCCAGAAGGUGGGCACUGUUGCUGCUGCUACCUCUUAAACCAGAAGAGUCAAAAGCCAAAUAACCCCUCACGGCAUUCAGCUGAGGUCUGAAGACUUCCUAGUUUGUCUGUGGACCUCUUUCAAGAACCAAGUUACAAAUUCAACAGGUCAUUUUGUAUCAAAAGGUCAAUUAUGAAGCACCUAGAAUUUUUCAAUUAUAAGAAUAUAUUCUCUGGGUUCUGUUGUGGCCCAGAUGAUGGUAACUUUUUUUUCUAUUAUGAGUUCUGUUUUUUUUCCCCUCUCCCAGAAAUUGGUUUUGAUGUACCCAAGACUUAAGUUUCUCAAUAAAGGAAAUAAAAUCUC
rnacentral:lncRNA from 1 species